UACGUAGGUCCCGAGCGUUGUCCGGAUUUAUUGGGCGUAAAGCGAGCGCAGGUGGUUUAUUAAGUCUGGUGUAAAAGGCAGUGGCUCAACCAUUGUAUGCAUUGGAAACUGGUAGACUUGGGUGCAGGAGUGGAGAGUGGAAUUCCAUGUGUAGCGGUGAAAUGCGUAGAUAUAUGGAGGAACACCGGUGGCGAAAGCGGCUCUCUGGCCUGUAACUGACACUGAGGCUCGAAAGCGUGGGGAGCAAACAGG
rnacentral:rRNA from 1 species